rnacentral:lncRNA from 1 species
UGAGGCUCUAGGUAUAAUCCCAUCUUGGGGCACAAUUCUUCUCUGUGUUGCUGGGGGGUUCGGGGGGGUCUCUGGACAUUGUUGGUGAGAUCCCAGCCCCAGCAGCAUCCAGGUUCUUAACACCAUUGAAAGAAUUCAGUGACGAGUCACAGUGAAGCAAAGGCAAGCAGCUUUUAUUGUGAAGCAAAAGUACACACAAGAGAGAAGUGUGGGAGUGCCCCUGAGAGCAAGUCAUGCAAAACAAAGUUUGGGUUUCUAAUUGUAUGGGUGUUCCUUUAAUAGGGGUAAUCAUUAGGUAUUCUGGGAAAAGAGGGGAUUUCAGGGACCCCUGAUUACCACCCCUCCUCCCUUAUUUGGGUUUGCCUGGAAGAGUUACAGACAUGUCACCCUGACUGGGGUUCUGGCAGUUUUCUCUUUUGUUUUGGGUUUUCUGUUAUCCCACGGUUUCUUUGCCUAGUUCCCGUUUUAGCUGUUGUUUGGGUUUUUCUUUUUUUUUUUCAGCUGCACCAAAACCAGGGUGUUGAGAUUUUCCAUCCUCCUGUGACCACCCAGUGCUAUUCCUGUCUCAUUUGGAUCUGUAAAACUAGAAAACUAGUUAUCACUGAAAUUCACAACAUUAGAAAAGAGGUUUAUGCAGAUUAUUCCUCCUAGGGAAUCCCCUAUCUAUAUUUUUGGCUUUUGCUGAGAUGAGUGAUAGUUUAAACUUCUUAUAAAUUGUUUGUAUUGAGGGGAUCUACAAGUCACAUUUAAUCUCUUCAAAGAGCUUUUUGUGUGACAGUGUUCUGAUGUAUGUUUUGAUCCCGGUAUCAGCAAACAUCCUUGGCUAUCUCUCUAAAACAUCUCUCUCUCUAAAACAUCUAUCUUUCCUAACAAUGAAUCUCUUAAUUUCAAUGGUUUGUUUUUUUUUUCCAAUUAAGAUGGGCUGAGAAUUUCCCAAAUCAUCAAAUCUUAGGUCUUUUCUGUUUCACAGUUCUUCCCUGUAUGUAUCUCUUUUCCAAUAUAUUUUACUAUAAUUAGUAAGAUAUAUGGUCACACCUUCAAAACCUCUGCUUAAAAAUGUUCUCAGCUAAGUGUCCACAUAAAGACUCAUGCAUCAAUAUUUGCAGCAGCUUUUUAAUAUUUAAAAAUGGGGGUGGAGUACAGACAUCAAUUAAGAUAAAUGGAUAAACUGUGG